GACCAGACUCCUACGGGAGGCAGCAGUGGGGGAUAUUGCACAAUGGGGGAAACCCUGAUGCAGCGACGCCGCGUGGGCGAAGAAGUAUUUCGGUAUGUAAAGCCCUAUCAGCAGGGAAGAAGAAAUGACGGUACCUGAGUAAGAAGCACCGGCUAAAUACGUGCCAGCAGCCGCGGUAAUACGUAUGGUGCAAGCGUUAUCCGGAUUUACUGGGUGUAAAGGGAGCGUAGACGGCCAUGCAAGCCAGGGGUGAAAGCCCGGGGCCCAACCCCGGGACUGCCCUUGGAACUGCAUGGCUGGAGUGCGGGAGGGGCAGGCGGAAUUCCUGGUGUAGCGGUGAAAUGCGUAGAUAUCAGGAGGAACACCGGCGGCGAAGGCGGCCUGCUGGACUGCGACUGACGUUGAGGCUCGAAAGCGUGGGGAGCGAACAGGAUUAGAUACCCGUGUA
rnacentral:rRNA from 1 species